rnacentral:rRNA from 1 species
AGUGAACGCUGGCGGCGUGCCUAAUACAUGCAAGUCGAACGGAGUGGCGCACGGGUGCGUAAUAUAUAGCUAACCUGCCCCUUGCUGGAGGACAACAGUUAGAAAUGACUGCUAAUACUCCAUAUAAAGGGAUGAGACGAUAUCGUAUGAGCUAGUCGGUGUGGUAACGGCCUACCGAGGGUAUGACGCGUAACUUGUCUGAGAGGAUGAGCAGUCACAUGGGAACUGAGACACGGUCCAAACACCUACGGGAGGCGGCAGGAGGGAAUAUGGCGCAAUGGGGGUAACUCUGACGCAGCAACGCCGCGUGAAGGAUGACAAUUAUCGGAGCGUAAACUCCUUUUGUUAGGGAAACGGUACCUAACGAAUAAGCACCGGCUAACUCCGUGCCAGCAGCCGCGGUAAUAC